AUUGAACGCUGGCGGCAGGCCUAACACAUGCAAGUCGAACGAGUGGCGGACGGGUGAGUAAUGUCUGGGAAACUGCCUGAUGGAGGGGGAUAACUACUGGAAACGGUAGCUAAUACCGCAUACCAUCGGAUGUGCCCAGAUGGGCUUAGCUAGUUGGUGGGGUAACGGCUCACCUAGGCGACGAUCCCUAGCUGGUCUGAGAGGAUGACCAGCAACAGUGGAACCUAGACGCGGUCCAGACUCCUACGGGAGGCAGCAGUGGGGAAUAUUGCACAAUGGGCGCAAGCCUGAUGCAGCCAUGCCGCGUGUAUGAAGAAGGCCUUCGGGUUGUAAAGUACUUACAGCGGGGAGGCGUUACCCACAGAAGAAGCACCGGCUAGCUCCGUGACAGCGGCCGAGGUAAUUC
rnacentral:rRNA from 1 species